GUAAUCCUGCCAGUACAACUCCGAGUACAACCAAGAAUGAAGAAGGCAACAGGCAGGUGUAGAAACAAAUCUUGUAUAUCUGGAAGUCCAUCUAAGGAACUGAUAUGAAAUAACUAACAUGUUAUAUACUUCCUUACUUGCUUCUGCAUAACUUCAGGGACAAGCCCUUAAGCUAAGCAGUUGAAGAGCAUGAGAAAAAACCAUUAUUGAAAAAAAAAAAAAAAACGUCCAAAACCCGCUUACCUAUUUCACAGCAUUGGAUUGUACUGGGGACAAGUACUAUGUAUGUCUGAAGAGGUUUUUAUCUGAGGAGGUGAGAACAGGAUCCUGUGCAAAGCCCCCACUUUUCCAAAUGACUUCGGUAAAAUAAAAGGGUCCCUACUGCACAGAAAGGAGAA